AGGUUCCUGGCUCUGGGUUCCUGGCUCUGGGUUCCUGGCUCUAGGUUCCUGCUCUAGGUUCCUGCUCUAGGUUCCUGGCUCUGGGUGGUUGUGUGUACACUGAGCACAAGGGGAAAGGUGGAACCACACACACUCUUCAGUCUGUCAGUGUGUGUGUGAGGACGCGUGACACCUGUCUGUGUGUACUGCGUGUAGUACUAUGUGUGUGGUACUUUAUGUAGAACUUCAUGUAGUACUGAGUACAUAACUGCAUGGAAUACUACAUGUAGUAUUACACUUAGUACUACAUGUGCUACAUGUAGUAUUAAAUGUAGUACUGUGUAUAUAUUAAUGCGUGUAGUAGUACAUGUAGCAUUGUGAAUAUAUUACUGCAUGUAGUACCACAUCUCGUUUUGUGUAUAUUACUGCAUGGAGUACUAAAUGUAGUACUCCAUGUAGUAUUACAUGUAGUAGUGUGUACAUAACUGCGUGUGGUACUACAUGUACUACUCAGAGUACUACAUGUGUUAGUGUGUAUUUUACAACGUAGUCCACCUGAGCUGUAUUCUGAGCAACACUGCUCCUUGGUUAGAUAAAGGACCUCAGAAGCUUAUUUCCCCUUCUACACUGAGAGGUUUUCACAAGGCAGAGACGUGUACAUUGUAAACUAAGAGAAUUUUGUACAGGAAGAUUCUAUUUUAAAGGGGUUUGGGACCAAAAUAUGAAAAAACAAAUAAAAAAGAAAGUGGUGUGUUUUUCUAAAGAGGGGGAUGGCGGGAGUUUAGUGAAAUGUAAAUUAGAUGCACUCCAUUCUCAUCUUCAUCUGUUUUUGGAAUAACUUGGGAUUUGUUGUUUUAGUCAAAUGACAAAAUGGUGGACAGAGCUCAAACAAAAAGAAUCCAAGAGAGUGGCCCAUAAAGAACUGCAAGAUAAAACCGAUUUGAGAACAACAGCCACCACUCUGAAACUUGAAUCAGACGUUUAUGGUGGUAUCGUAUCUUGGUGGCCAAAAUGUUUUCAGUUGAAUUAUUCACCAUAAAACAACUUUCUUUGUACUCCAAGGCAACAUCUUUGGCUACAAAAACUUUCUUCGAUAUGAACAUGAAAUGAUAAAUAUGAGGUUAUAUUUUUAUUUGUUUUAUGGCUUAAC
ensembl:lncRNA